GAGGAGGGGGUAUCAAGGUGGUGCAGUGGCCGUCAUUCAUCGACGCAGGGAUGCCAUCAUGGUCUGCAAUCCAUGGAGAUGAAUAGAAUCUUCCUCCCUUUAUCUAUUGCUCUAAGAAAGAGAAUGAAAUUGGGAUUUGUUGGGGGAGGGGUUAUAAAGAGAGAGAGAGAUGGGAGGGAAAAGGAAGAAGAGAGGGGAGAGAGAUGGGAAGGAGAAUAAGUGUGGGAGAGCUCGCCGGACUUCGCGGCGUCAAAGGUAUUUAAGCAUGGAGCCAUGAGUGCAAGAGAGUACCAAAGCCAAAACUCA
rnacentral:lncRNA from 1 species